CCCUUAGAUGUUCUGGGCGGCCCGCGCACUACAAUGGCGUGUGCAGCGAGUGCCGAAGUAGAGUUUUCCGAGGUAUUCUUGCAAUGCUCGUUUUGAUGGGGAUAGACCCUUGCAACUGUUGGUUUUGAACGAGGAAUUCCUUGUAAGCAUGGUUUAUCAUCCGACGCUGAAUGCGUCCCUGCCCUUUGUACACACCGCCCGUCGCUCCUACCGAUUGAAUGUUCCGGUGAGCUCUUCGGACUGCGCGGUCUGCAGUUUCUGCGUUCCGUGCGGAAAGUUGUGCAAACCUUAACAUUUAGAGGAAGGAGAAGUCGUAACA
rnacentral:rRNA from 1 species